rnacentral:rRNA from 1 species
UACGAAGGGGGGCUAGCGUUGCUCGGAUUUACUGGGCGUAAAGGGCGCGUAGGCGGAUUUCUAAGUCAGAUGUGAAAUCCCCGGGCUCAACCUGGGAACUGCAUUUGUGACUGUAGAGCUGGAGUACGGCAGAGGGGGGUGGAAUUCCGCGUGUAGCAGUGAAAUGCGUAGAUAUGCGGAGGAACACCGAUGGCGAAGGCAAUCCCCUGGGCCUGUACUGACGCUCAUGCACGAAAGCGUGGGGAGCAAACAGG